GACGAACGCUGGCGGCGUGCUUAACACAUGCAAGUCGAACGGAAAGGCCCUGCUUUUGUGGGGUGCUCGAGUGGCGAACGGGUGAGUAACACGUGAGUAACCUGCCCUUGACUUUGGGAUAACUUCAGGAAACUGGGGCUACUACCGGAUAGGAGCUCCUGCUGCAUGGUGGGGGUUGGAAAGUUUCGGCGGUUGGGGAUGGACUCGCGGCUUAUCAGCUUGUUGGUGGGGUAGUGGCUUACCAAGGCUUUGACGGGUAGCCGGCCUGAGAGGGUGACCGGCCACAUUGGGACUGAGAUACGGCCCAGACUCCUACGGGAGGCAGCAGUGGGGAAUAUUGCACAAUGGGCGGAAGCCUGAUGCAGCAACGCCGCGUGCGGGAUGACGGCCUUCUGGUGGGAAACCGCUUUCGCCUGUGACGAAGCGUGAUUGACGGUAAUGGGUAAAGAAGCACCGGCUAACUACGUG
rnacentral:rRNA from 1 species